CCUACGGGCGGCUGCAGUGGGGGAUAUUGCACAAUGGAGGAAACUCUGAUGCAGCGACGCCGCGUGAGGGAAGACGGUCUUCGGAUUGUAAACCUCUGUCUUUGGGGAAGAAAAUGACGGUACCCAAAGAGGAAGCUCCGGCUAACUACGUGCCAGCAGCCGCGGUAAUACGUAGGGUGCGAGCGUUGUCCGGAAUUACUGGGUGUAAAGGGGGCGUAGGUGGGCGAGAAAGUUGGAGGGAAAAUCUAUCGGCUAAACUGGUAGCUGCGGUUGAAACUGCUAGUCUUGAGUGGAGGAGAGGCAUGCGGAAUGCGUGGUGUAGCGGUGAAAUGCGUAGAUAUUAGGAAGAACACCAGUGGCGAAGGCAGCCUGCUGG
rnacentral:rRNA from 1 species